CACAUAUUGACUUGAAACAAUUUAUUAAAUAAAGUCUUGAUCAGAAAAUUAGUGUUUCAUAAUUUAAAUUCCAUCUUGAGUACUUAUAGAGUGUGUCAAUUUGCAGUAGGAUUGGCUAAAUUAGAUAUAGCAUUUAAAUUAACACGCGUAAAAAUCUUGUCGACAAGAUGAACUCGCACUGCUUGUUCUAGCCUGCGAACAGGCUCUCAAGCUGAAUUGAGAGCCUGCAUCGAUGACUAAUGAAUUUGAAUAUCUGCCCCGUAACAUUCAGCUUGAGAGCCUGUUCGCAGGCUAUGCUUGUUCCAAUUCCAAGUUGUUAACAAGUCCGGAACAAGUUGUUAUCAUUUUGUAACAAGGUUGAUGAGCAACAGACUCGCUACAAGUUGUUCCAACAAGUCUGAUAUUGUCUGCACGUAACAAGUUGUUAACAAGUCCGGAACAAGUUGUUAUCAUUUUGUAACAAGGUUGAUGAGCAACAGACUCGCUACAAGUUGUUCCAACAAGUCUGAUAUUGUUUGCACGUAACAAGUUGUUAACAAGUUGAUGACAACAAGCUUGUAGCAAUUGACCAUUUGCGUAAUAGACUAAAUUUUGAUCUAGACAAAAAUUUCAUCACAGCUUGAAAGAGCAUCACAAAAUUAGUAAUAUACCAAAGUUUCGUUGCAAAAUGUUGUAAAAUGCAGAAAAUACAGCCUUGCGAAGUUUGCAAUUUUCAGUCAUUUUAGAUUACAAACGGGAAAUUGACAGCCCCAACACCCUUCGAGGCUGUCAAUUUCCCGUUUG